UCUUCUUCUUCUUCUUCUUCUUCUUCUCUUCUCCCUCUUCUUCCUCUCUUCUUCUCCCCACGCUCCACCGCUCCUCUCUCUGUUCGAGAAACAGACCCACGCCCCACCGCUUCUCUCUCUGUUCGAGAAACAGACCCACGCCCCACCGCUUCUCUCUCUGUUCGAGAAACAGAGAGCGUGGGAGGCGGUGGGAUAAAACCGAAUUUUCGGUUUUCUUUAUUUUCUU
rnacentral:lncRNA from 1 species